GAUUAUGGCUCAGGAUGAACGCUGGCGGCGUGCCUAACACAUGCAAGUCGAGCGGGGAAGCCGGAACAUGUAGAGAUAUAUGAGAAAGCAUCCUAGCGGCGGACGGGUGAGUAACACGUGAGGAACCUGCCUUACACAGGGGAAUAACACCGUGAAAACGGUGCUAAUACCGCAUAACACCGCACUAUGGCAUCAUAGAGCGGUACAAAAGGAAGAAAUCCGGUGUAAGAUGGCCUCGCGCCCGAUUAGUUAGUUGGUGGGGUAAUGGCCUACCAAGACUGCGAUCGGUAGCCGGACUGAGAGGUCGAACGGCCACAUUGGAACUGAGAGACGGUCCAGACUCCUACGGGAGGCAGCAGGUGGGGAAUAUUGGGCAAGUACGGGGGAAACCCUGACCCAGCAACGCCGCGUGAAGGAAGAAGGCCUUCGGGUUGUAAACUUCUUUGAUCAGGGAAGAAACAAAUGACGGUACCUGAAAAACAAGCCACGGCUAACUACGUGCCAGCCGCCGC
rnacentral:rRNA from 1 species